rnacentral:misc_RNA from 1 species
GAAAUGCGAUAAGUAAUGUGAAUUGCAGAAUUCAGUGAAUCAUCGAAUCUUUGAACGCACAUUGCGCCCCUUGGUAUUCCGGGGGGCAUGCCUGUUCGAGCGUCAUUUCAACCCUCAAGCUCUGCUUGGUAUUGGGCACCGUCCUUUGCGGGCGCGCCUCAAAGACCUCGGCGGUGGCGUCUUGCCUCAAGCGUAGUAGAAUACACCUCGCUUCGGAGCGUAAGGCGUCGCCCGCCGGACGAACCUUUUGAACUUUUCUCAAGGUUGACCUCGGAUCAGGUAGGGAUACCCGCUGAACUUAAGC